UACGGGGGGAGCAAGCGUUGUUCGGAUUUACUGGGCGUAAAGGGCGCGUAGGCGGCCCGGUAAGUCAAAGGUGAAAUCCCUCGGCUCAACUGAGGAACUGCCUUUGAAACUGUCGGGCUUGAGGCCGGGAGGGGGUAGCGGAAUUCCCAGUGUAGCGGUGAAAUGCGUAGAUAUUGGGAGGAACACCGGUGGCGAAGGCGGCUACCUGGACCGGUUCUGACGCUGAUGCGCGAAAGCGUGGGUAGCAAACAGG
rnacentral:rRNA from 1 species